rnacentral:rRNA from 1 species
AUUGAACGCUGGCGGCAUGCUUUACACAUGCAAGUCGAACGGCAGCACGGGUGCUUGCACCUGGUGGCGAGUGGCGAACGGGUGAGUAAUGCAUCGGAACGUAUCCAAUAAUGGGGGAUAACGCACCGAAAGGUGUGCUAAUACCGCAUACGCCCUGAGGGGGAAAGUGGGGGACCGUAAGGCCUCCCGUUAAUGGAGCGGCCGAUGCCUGAUUAGCUAGUUGGUGAGGUAGAGGCUCACCAAGGCGACGAUCAGUAGCUGGUCUGAGAGGGCGACCAGCCACACUGGGACUGAGACACGGCCCAGACUCCUACGGGAGGCAGCAGUGGGGAAUUUUGGACAAUGGGCGCAAGCCUGAUCCAGCCAUGCCGCGUGAGUGAAGAAGGCCUUCGGGUUGUAAAGCUCUUUCGCAAGGAAAGAAAACUUAUCCCCUAAUACGGGAUGAGGAUGACGGUACCUUGAUAAGAAGCACCGGCUAACUACGUGCCAGCCGCCGCCGUAA